rnacentral:rRNA from 1 species
AAUUGACGGGGCCCGCACAAGCGGUGGAGCAUGUGGUUUAAUUCGACGCAACGCGAAGAACCUUACCAGGGCUUGACAUCCCCUGACCGCGUAUGAAAGUACGUUUUCACCCUCGGGUGACAGGGAGACAGGUGGUGCAUGGUUGUCGUCAGCUCGUGUCGUGAGAUGUUGGGUUAAGUCCCGCAACGAGCGCAACCCCUACGUUUAGUUGCUAACGCGUGAAGGCGAGCACUCUAGACGAACUGCCGUUGACAAAACGGAGGAAGGUGGGGAUGACGUCAAAUCAUCAUGCCCCUUAUGUUCUGGGCUACACACGUACUACAAUGGCCGUUACAACGGGAAGCGAAGGAGCAAUCCGGAGCAAAUCCCUUAAAGGCGGUCCCAGUUCAGAUUGUGGGCUGAAACUCGCCCACAUGAAGGCGGAAUUGCUAGUAAUUGCAGAUCAGCAUGCUGCAGUGAAUACGUUCCCGGGCCUU